UACGUAGGGGGCGAGCGUUAUCCGGAAUUAUUGGGCGUAAAGAGUGCAUAGGUGGUUACCUAAGCACAGGGUUUAAGGCAAUGGCUCAACCAUUGUAUGCCUUGUGAACUGGGCUACUUGAGUGCAGGAGAGGAGAGUGGAAUUCCUAGUGUAGCGGUGAAAUGCGUAGAUAUUAAGAGGAACACCAGUGGCGAAGGCGACUUUCUGGACUGUAACUGACACUGAGGCACGAAAGCGUGGGGAGCAAACAGG
rnacentral:rRNA from 1 species